GUCUCUUAAUUGGAGUCUGGAAUGAAUGGUUGGAUGAAAAAUUUACUUUCUUUAUUUUAAAAAUAAAAAUUAAUUUUUAGUUUAAAAAGUCUAAAUUUUGUUAAAGGACGAGAAGACCCUAUAGAACUUUACUUUUUUUUAUGUAAUUUUUUAUUUUAAAAUAAUUAAUUUUUACUUAAUAGGGAGUUUUGUUGGGGUGACAAAAAAAAUUUAAUAGCUUUUUUUAUUUUUAUCAUUUAUUUAUGAUUUUAGUUGAUCCUUUUUUAUGGAUAAUAAGAUUUAGUUACCUUAGGGAUAACAGCGUUAUUAUUUCAGAGAGUUCAUAUUUAUGAAAUAGAUUGCGACCUCGAUGUUGGAUUAAAAUUAGUGCCAGGGGCAGAAUAUUGGUUACUAGGUCUGUUCGACCUUUAAUUUUUUACA
rnacentral:rRNA from 1 species